rnacentral:rRNA from 1 species
GACGAAGGGGGCUAGCGUUGUUCGGAAUUACUGGGCGUAAAGCGCGUGCAGGCGGUUGCCAAAGUCGGGUGUGAAAGCCUUGAGCUCAACUCAAGAAUUGCACUCGAUACUUGGUGACUAGAGGACCGGAGAGGAUAGUGGAAUUCCCAGUGUAGUGGUGAAAUACGUAGAGAUUGGGAAGAACACCAGUGGCGAAGGCGGCUAUCUGGACGGUUUCUGACGCUGAGACGCGAAAGCGUGGGGAGCAAACAGG